rnacentral:lncRNA from 12 species
GGGGGGGGGGGGGGGGGGGGGGGGGGGGGUGGGGCUUUAAGGCUGCGGGUGCGGCUUGGGGCGAGUGGGCGUGGCUUAAAUGGGCAGGGCUUAAAUGAAAACUGGUGGGCGUGACCGGAGCACGGAAGCAGGCGUGGUCUCAGCUCACUGGGCGUGGUCUCAGCUCACUGGGCGUGGUCUCAGGUUCCUGGCCCCGGUUCUGGGGGCCCUGCGCGAGGGCCUGGGAGACCCCGACGGCGCCGUCAGGGGGGCGGCGGCCGCGGCGCUGAGAGAGCUGAGGGAGGAGCUGGAGCCCGAGCUCUCCCAGGUGGCGGCCGAGGCCCUGCCCAGAAUUUUGGGGGAGUUUUGGGAAUCCCCAAAUCCCGACCCCAAGUCCUGGUUCGUGCUGGAGGCGCUGCUGGAGGCGCUGGGUGAGGGGGUGCAGCCCUGGCUGCCCCAGGUGCUCCCAGAAUUGCCAUAAAUCGCUAUUAGUCACGAUUAAUUGGUAUUAAUUCUUAUUAAUUGCUAUUAGUUCCUAUUAGUUGUUAUUAAUUACGAUUAAUAACGAUUAGUUUUAAUUAAUUUUGCCCCCCCAGGUGAGGAGGUGCAGCCCUGGCUGCCCCAGGUGCUCCCCAGGAUCUCGGGGGCGCUGGAGUCGCCGCGGGGGCGGGAGCUGGGGCUGAGCGCGCUGCACGCCCUGGGUGAGCCCCAAAAAAUAUCCUAAAAACAGCCCGAAAUCAUC